AAUCGCAUGAUGAGGACAUUUUCUGAUGAGAUCCUUUAAUCGUUCCCAUGAUUCACGGAACUGCUCACCAUCUUGUUGCGAGAAGCUAGUGAGAGCUUGUCUUAUCUGGUUU
rfam:Cephalotus follicularis DNA, scaffold: scaffold2132, isolate: St1.